UCAUUGAUGGAAUAAACGCCCUUACAGGCGCUACCCAUAAACCCUUUGUGAAUACUACCUAAAAUGUUGCCUCGGCAUUGGUUGGCCUCUUUGAGGUCCCUUCUCUCCAGGGAAGGAGCAGACCGGCCGGUGGCCCUAUAAACUCUUGUUUUUGUACUAUCAUCUGAGUAAAACAACUAAAAUGAAUCAAAACUUUCAACAACGGAUCUCUUGGUUCUGGCAUCGAUGAAGAACGCAGCGAAAUGCGAUAAGUAAUGUGAAUUGCAGAAUUCAGUGAAUCAUCGAAUCUUUGAACGCACAUUGCGCCCGGUGGUAUUCCACCGGGCAUGCCUGUUCGAGCGUCAUUUCAACCCUCAAAGCCCUGGCUUUGGUGUUGGAGGAAUACCCUGUAAGAAGGGUACCCUCUGAAAUUUAGUGGCGGGCUCGCUAGAAUUUUGAGCGUAGUAAUUUUACCUCGUUUUUAAAGACUAGUGGGACUUCUUGCCGUAAAACCCCCCAACUUUCUGA
rnacentral:rRNA from 1 species